rnacentral:rRNA from 1 species
AUUGAACGCUGGCGGCAGGCCUAACACAUGCAAGUCGAACGAGUGGCGGACGGGUGAGUAAUGUCUGGGAAACUGCCUGAUGGAGGGGGCUAACUACUGGAAACGGUAGCUAAUACCGCAUACCAUCGGAUGUGCCCAGAUGGGAUUAGCUAGUAGGUGGGGUAAAGGCUCACCUAGGCGACGAUCCCUAGCUGGUCUGAGAGGAUGACCAGUCACACUGGAACGUAGACACGGUCCUGACUCCUAAGGUAGGCAGCAGUGGGGAAUAGUGCACAAUGGGCGCAAUCCUGAUGCAGCCAUGCCGCGUGUAUGAAGAAGGCCUUCGGGUUGUAAAGUACUUUCAGCGGGGAGGCGUUACCCGCAGAAGAAGCACCGGCUAACUCCGUGCCAGCAGCCGCGGUAAUUC